UCCCUGGUAGUAUAUCGGUUAGUACACGCGCCUGUCAUAUAUGAUGCUGGUUUGUGAGAUAUCGCGCGAAAGCUGGGUUCGACUCCCAGCCAGGGAG